rnacentral:rRNA from 1 species
CAGCAGCCGCGGGAAUACGGAGGGCGCGAGCGUUACCCGGAUUUACUGGGCGUAAAGGGCGUGUAGGCGGGAGGGCACGUCCGUCGCUGAAAUCCCCCGGCUCAACCGGGGAACGGGCGCGGAUACGACUCUUCUGGAGGAACGUAGGGGGACCUGGAACUUCCGGUGGAGCGGUGAAAUGCGUUGAGAUCGGAAGGAACGCCCGUGGCGAAAGCGAGGUCCUGGACGUUUACUGACGCUGAGACGCGAAAGCCAGGGGAGCGAACGGGAUUAGAUACCCCAGUAGUCCCUGUCUCUUAUA